UACGUAGGCAGCAAGCGUUGUUCGGAGUUACUGGGCGUAAAGGGUGUGUAGGCGGUCUUCUAAGUUUGGUGUGAAAUCUCCCGGCUCAACUGGGAGGGUGCGCCGAAAACUGGGAGGCUAGAGUGCGGGAUGGGAGAGUGGAAUUCCCAGUGUAGAGGUGAAAUUCGUAGAUAUUGGGAAGAACACCGAUGGCGAAGGCAGCCAUCUGGACCGACACUGACGCUGAGGCGCGAAAGCGUGGGGAGCAAACAGG
rnacentral:rRNA from 1 species